UACGUAGGGUCCAAGCGUUAAUCGGAAUUACUGGGCGUAAAGCGUGCGCAGGCGGUUAUAUAAGACAGAUGUGAAAUCCCCGGGCUCAACCUGGGAACUGCAUUUGUGACUGUAUAGCUAGAGUACGGCAGAGGGGGAUGGAAUUCCGCGUGUAGCAGUGAAAUGCGUAGAUAUGCGGAGGAACACCGAUGGCGAAGGCAAUCCCCUGGGCCUGUACUGACGCUCAUGCACGAAAGCGUGGGGAGCAAACAGG
rnacentral:rRNA from 1 species